UACGAAGGGUGCAAGCGUUACUCGGAAUUACUGGGCGUAAAGCGUGCGUAGGUGGUUUGUUAAGUCUGUUGUGAAAGCCCCGGGCUCAACCUGGGAAUGGCAAUGGAUACUGGCAGGCUAGAGUGCGGUAGAGGGUAGUGGAAUUCCCGGUGUAGCGGUGAAAUGCGUAGAGAUCGGGAGGAACACCAGUGGCGAAGGCGGCCCGUCUGGGCCGG
rnacentral:rRNA from 1 species